rnacentral:rRNA from 1 species
GCAUCUGUGCAUGCAGCAUAUCAAUAAGCGGAGGAAAAGUAACUAACAAGGAUUCCCUUAGUAACGGCGAGUGAAGCGGGAAGAGCUCAAAUUUGAAAUCUUCAAGGUUUUACCUUGACGAAUUGUAGUUUAAAGAAGUGUUUUCUGUUGAAGUUUUGGUAAAAGUUCUUUGGAAUAGGACAUCAUAGAGGGUGAGAAUCCCGUAUUUGACCAUUAUUUUCAGCUGUGUGAUACACUUUCAAAGAGUCGGAUUGUUUGGGAAUGCAGUCCAAAAUGGGUGGUAAAUUUCAUCUAAAGCUAAAUAUUGGCGAGAGACCGAUAGCGAACAAGUACCGUGAGGGAAAGAUGAAAAGAACUUUGAAAAGAGAGUUAAACAGUACGUGAAAUUGUCAAAAGGGAAGCGUUUGACACCAGUGUUGUUUUCUCGAAAAUCAAUUAAAAAGAGUUUGAUUUUGUUGUGUAUUGACCUUAACAGCUUGCAUUUCAAUUUUCUUGCUUUUUUUAAUGCACUUUUCGUAUAACAAGUCAACAUCAGUUUCUUUUGUUGUAAAAAGGUCAUUGGAAGGUGGCUUUCUUUUCGGAGAAAGUGUUUAUAGCCUUUGACUCCUGCAAUCGGAGAGACUGAGGUCUGCAGCGUAGAUCCUUCGGGGUUAGAUACAUUUGUGCUAAGUUAUAGCUUUUUAUAGACAACUUGUUGACUAUGAUUAGUCUUGUAGCUUACUCGCUUAUGCUAUUUUACCUACGCUUAGGAUGUUGACACACGCGCGUGCUCG